UGGCGACGUCAAUCGUGUUGUACCAAAGCACCGUGGGCCACCUCUGCGUCGGCCCUUUGUAAGUGUAGUUGCCGCCCACCUGGUCGAUAAUAUCUACAAGUCCUUAGGCUUUUGGAAUGGUUCACUUCUGGACUGUGUUAAGCAUCAAAACAGCCUUCCCCUUUGGAACAAUCGCCAAAAAGGUAACACUGGUGAAAAUCUUUCAUGGCCAAUUGCCGAACCCCGCGUGAACAGCGGGGGGGGGGGGGGCGGCAAGAGAAGGCACCCCGAAAUUCCAGGCAGAGUCGCAUGCCGGUUGAAAAGUGAAGCCACCAAUAGCGCAGCACAUCUGGAUCGUCCUUGAAAAGACCAGUGCAACAUUCUUGCUGCCAACUUACUGGUGGCGCCAGGAUGUGCCGUUGGGAACUUUAAGGACGAGUGCGGAUCGGAUCUGAGCUCACACCUGCGACGCACUCGUCCGGCUCCUCCUUCGCGCCAGCUCAGUUUGCAGCCCUCCCGCUCAUCAGGGUGAAGAUGUUGUCGGCAAGUCUUUGCC